CAAGGAAACCCCUUGGAUGCGGUUUGGAAGGACUGCUCCUGCCAGAGCCCAUGUUAGGGUUGGGGUGAACUCUGGAGGACACAAUUGAUUAGAUCAUAAGCUGAGGCAGAGUUGCACCCAACCCAGCUGGAAAAAAGGUGUGAUUGUGGACUGAUUCCCUUUAGCCCCAGCUCUCAUUGAAGUCGAUGGUGUGCCACUGUUGUUUGGAUGUCUGGGAUGUGCCUUGUGGAAGAGCUGUCAAUAAUCUCAUGCGAAUCUCAUCUUACGCUGGGGUUAUGUUCCGCUGUCAGCGCGUAAAGAGAAAAUCACAUAUAGUCAAAAAUCGUCCGCACUACAGAAAUCACCAGUCUUCCAAUCUGACGUCAUCAUCUCUACCCUGUCCAAAGUGAAUGAGAACCAUCCAGAAACUAAGAGCUGUUCCUGAGAAAUCUUAAAAAAGGCCACAGUAAAGUUAUAUCACUGCCAGAGAAACAGCAAC